rnacentral:sRNA from 13 species
CAAAAGCUCUAUUUUGAAGCGAGAUAUGCGCCUUUGAAGUUGGUGGUGAGAGAGUGAGAGACGGCAGAGAAAACGACUGUCUCACUGUCUGCGUCUCUCCUCCAAACUUUGAAGGCGCAUAACUCGCUUCAAAAUUGAGCCUUUG